AUUUCAUUGGUUGAUAUUGGGUUGUUCAGAAUUUUUAGGUCUUCUUCGUUCAACUUUGGUAAUUCCUAUGUAUCUAGGAAUCUGUCCAUUUCUUCUGUGUUGUCCAUCUUAUUGGCGUAUAGGUUCUGGAAGUAGGUAUUGAUGAUCCUCUGGAUUUCUGCUGGGUCUGUUGUCAUUUCACCCUUUUCAUUCCUAAUUGCAUGGAUUUGGGCCUUUUCUUUCCUUUUUCUGACAAGGUUGGCUAAGGGUUUGUCAAUUUUGUUUAUUCUGUUGAAGAACCAACUCUGGCUUCAUUGAUUUUUUGUAUCAUUCUCUUAGUCUCCAUUGAAUUGAUUUCUGCUCUGGUCUUUAUAAUUUCCUCCCUUGUAUGAGCUUUGGGUUUGUCCUGCUCUGCUUUUUCUAGUAG
rnacentral:lncRNA from 1 species